CUUUAUUUUGAAGGCCGACGUCGUAGCUCCAUCGUUUGCCUGACUUCAACUUUCACCGCUCCCCGUAUUGGCUUCGCCUCUGGCCGGUUCCGUGUGUCCGCCGACUUCUCGGUAGGUGAUUGUGGUAGCCUAUUGUGUUUGUUGUUGGCUACGUUUGUAUCAUUUAGUGGGCCAACUCAAACAUUGGGGUUUAGGAGUGCAGCUAGUCGCUGAACAUGGGCCGUAUGACUGGCCACAGCAGAGCGAUCUCGGGCGUAACAGGGAGCGGCAACAUCAAGGCGUCUUGGUCCCAGUUCCGACGAACGCUGCUGUUUUGUCUUGUUUUGUGUGUGUUUCGUCUGUUCCAUUCUGUUUGCUAAAUUGGCUGUGUUUAGCCACCACGAAGUCAGCCCUCAUUGAUUAACUGAAGUGACGACAGGUGUGCUGCUGUUUGCUCACGAGUGACUACGAAUUCAGUUCGGUUGUGGAGGCUAGCCUAUUCCUUAGCUUGUUGCACUGUGUGUCAUGAUUUGUCACCAUAAGCCUGCGUGAGUGAUUGUGCUUUCACUGUUUGCUGUGACAACUGAGUGCUGUGCAUUGGAGUGCUACUUAAUCACGAGUGUCUCAUUCCCUGAAUAGUCACCUCUACUGACUUUAGCGAACUCACUCAGGAGAGUACUACUGCUGUUGGCGAACCCACACUGGAGAGUAAUACUGACUUGAGCGAACCCACACUGGAAAGAACUCACUCAUGUUUUUAAUGUAAAUAAAUAAGAGUUUAUUUUUGGAACACAUGCCUCUCUGGUUUUCUAUGAUCCCGAACCUGUGUUGCCUGGUAGCUCAAUGCAUUAUCCAGUCUCAAAGAGUUUAUAUUCUGAGGGGAAGGGCCUCAGAUGGCGUAGUCGUCAUGUUGCAGAAUGUGAAGCCGACCAUUCACUUUGCCACACAAGUACUCGAUUUAAAAAAAAAAAAAAAAAAACAGGAAUAUCGAGUAUCACUCCCCUCCAGGAAAUACGCAAGUCAGGAAUUCUUCAAUUACUGAUGGAUUUAUUUUUGUUUCUUUAAUUUCAUCUAAUCCACCUUUAGACUGAAUUGAUCAAAAAUGUUUUAUAGGCCUACUUUUACUGAGUGAUGACGCCCUUUCCACACUUUUUACAGAGCCUCCCAUGGUUUCCUUCCGAAGGGCGCCAACCCUGAAGGAUGCCUUGGUCAGAAGCCAUCUGCCAGCCAACAAACCUGUUUUCCAAUUCCCCAAACCAACAGGUAGGCUACCUACAGGUGUGGUGCCUGCAACCAUUGCGACAACAUCGUGAGAGACAACAGGUUUACAGAGAAGUUUCCAAGUUCGUAGCUUUGCCAACUGCAAUACCACCUUUGUGGUUUAUAGGUUAGAAUGUGAAUGUGGUUGCUUUUAUGUUGGCCGCACCAAACGCAAGUUCCGACAAAGACUGGCUGAGCACAAAAAUGCCAUCAGGACCCAGAACCCCAACUAUCCAAUGGCCCAGCAUUACAAGACUGCUGGCCACACUAACCAGGUCAAGGCCAUGGUCAUUGAGGUAGUUCAAAAAGACAUCAGGGGGGGAGACCGACUGAAGCGCCUCUUACAAAGGGAAACAUUUUGGAUACAUGCACUUAAAGCCACCACACACCCGGGCCUCAAUGAGGAAAUUUACUUUUCACCAUUUCUGUGAUUGAAAGUAAAUGUUUACUAAUAAUGUGAUGUUUUGUUAUAUGAAAUAAUGCCUACAUGCUUCGUAAUCUGUAGAACACUGGUAUGCUGGGUUUUUUCUGUAUGGCAUUAUGUGGGUUCUAAUAUGUCUAGUCUCCACCUUGGUGAUCCAAAGUUUAUUUGUUAUUUUUUGUUUUCUGUCAAUAUUGUAUUUCAACUAGGGUAUUUUAAUGUGCCCUGUCAGGUGUCUUAUCACAUGACACAGAGUGAUUGAUUGCUUUAUAAAGAACACCUGCGAGUGUGAUCACUGAUUGCCCUGAGGAAGGCUCAGUAGAGUCGAAACACGUAGGCUUAUCCAAAUGCAAUAAAGGAUUUUUAACUUUUUUCACUA